rnacentral:lncRNA from 1 species
UAGCAGUACUACUUAUGUCUCUGAGAGUGAGACGGAUGUAUAGCAAUUUGCAAUUAAAAACAUGAUUAUUUGUCUCUCUGAAAUUAAACCAGUGACAGAUUUUAAACAAAUACAUGUCUGUCAUUGAACAAACCCAUGCCAUGAUUAGAUAAUGGAAAAACACACCAAUCUCUUUCAGAAUUUCUUUAUACAAUAAAAGCUCAUUUACCAACAUUUCUGAACGUAGAUGUAUUCUGUUUUGGAAUGAAUCUCUUGAAAUGUAUUCACGUUUAGUGAAACACGAGAUAUAAUGAAAGUACUCUUUGUUUGUUUCUUUUGUAGAGCACAAAUAUUGUCAAGCAAUGGGGAAGACCACAUUGAGAACCGUAAUUGUCUGUGUAUCCACAGUGUAUAGUGCUUUAGGUUGUGUAGUGACAGGCCCAGACCAGAAGAAGGUUCCUGUGGGCUCUAAUGUUCGACUGUCCUGCGACCUCACUCAGUGUUUGAAAAGUCUGGGACAUCACCAAAUCAGUGCGGAGUGGGAGUUCAUUGACAAGGACUCAAUGGAUAAAGCCCGGCACUGUCUCAUAUACCACUACCAUAACCAAACUGUCACCGUUGAACCCAGAGUGUCUCUGGUUGGGAACAUCUCUGAAGGUGACUUCUCGAUCCUGCUGGUGUCGGUGACAGUCCAACGUAGUGGCACCUACCUGUGUCGCCUGCGUUCUCCACAUGGCUAUUCAGACAUUCAUGAGAGUCACACACAGGUCACAGUGGUGGAGAGAUCAGGGCAGCACAGGAGUUUCCCAGGAGAUCUCCAUAAACCUGGUGUAAACCAUCCGGAUUGGCUGUUGCCUCUCUGCUGCGUGCUUUUUUCACUCUUCCUGGUGGGCGGAGUCACAGUGGGAAUAUGCGUGUGUCGGAGGAGGUCACCGCGGCAACAAAAUGACAAGUGUCACAUCCAGGUGAACGUAACACGCGGAGAAGACACACGGGAAGCCAAUGGAAACAAGGACACAAACUGCUAUGUCACGCUCCAGAGGCUCAGGGCCCCGCCCCCUCCCACACCCUCUAGAGGAGAGGGCAUCUACGUUACCAUGGUAAGCACACUGUGUACAGAACAGAGGCUUUAA